rnacentral:rRNA from 1 species
GCGGAGGAAAAGAAACUAACCAGGAUUGUCUCAGUAAGGGCGACUGAAGCGACAAUAGCUCACCAUGUGAAUCUGCGUCAAGCCGAAUUGUGGUCUCAUUUGCAUUACUGGGCUGGGCCAAGUCCGUUGGAACACGGCAGCAUGGAGGGUGAGACUCCCGUCCGCCUGACCCUAAAAGCAAGUGUAUGCGAGUCGAGUUGUUUGGGAUUGCAGCUCUAAGCGGGUGGUAAAUUCCAUCGAAAGCUAAAUACUGGUGGGAGACCGAUAGCGUACAAGUACCGUGAGGGAAAGAUGCAAAGAAGCGCGAAAGCGCUGUUAAAGAGUACCUGAACUUGCUGAAACGGAAGCGAAGGAAACCAGUGCCAGCUGCGUCAUACUUCCCUGACUGCUUGCAGUUGGGGCGCUGUGGCCAGUGUUGUCAGCCUUGGUUGAACGGUGUGGAAGAGCGUGGGGGGAGUUGACCCCGAUUGC